rnacentral:rRNA from 1 species
UGGAGAGUUUGAUCCUGGCUCAGGAUGAACGCUAGCGGCAGGCCUAAUACAUGCAAGUCGAACGGGCUGGAGUAGCAAUACUCCAGUUAGUGGCGCACGGGUGCGUAACGCGUAUGCAACCUACCUUUUAUUGGGGGAUAGCCCGAAGAAAUUCGGAUUAAUACCGCAUAAUAUCAUUUGAGGGCAUCUGAGGAUGAUUAAAGCUACGGCGAUAAAAGAUGGGCAUGCGUGUCAUUAGCUAGUUGGUGGAGGUAACGGCUCACCAAGGCAACGAUGACUAGGGGUUCUGAGAGGAUGAUCCCCCACACUGGUACUGAGAUACGGACCAGACUCCUACGGGAGGCAGCAGUAGGGAAUAUUGGGCAAUGGAGGAAACUCUGACCCAGCCAUGCCGCGUGCCGGAUGAAGGCCUUCUGGGUUGUAAACGGCUUUUACCAGGGAAGAAAAUACCUUUGCGAAGGGAACUGACGGUACCUGGUGAAUAAGCACCGGCUAACUCCGUGCCAGCAGCCGCGGUAAUACGGAGGGUGCAAGCGUUGUCCGGAUUUAUUGGGUUUAAAGGGUGCGUAGGCGGCUUGAUAAGUCCGUGGUGAAAGCCAACAGCUCAACUGUUGAACUGCCAUGGAUACUGUCAGGCUUGAGUACAGACGAGGUAGGCGGAAUGGAUAGUGUAGCGGUGAAAUGCAUAGAUACUAUCCAGAACACCGAUUGCGAAGGCAGCUUACUAGACUGUAACUGACGCUGAGGCACGAAAGCGUGGGGAGCGAACAGGAUUAGAUACCCUGGUAGUCCACGCCGUAAACGAUGAUAACUCGAUGUUGGCGAUACACGGCCAGCGUCUUAGCGAAAGCGUUAAGUUAUCCACCUGGGGAGUACGCCCGCAAGGGUGAAACUCAAAGGAAUUGACGGGGGCCCGCACAAGCGGUGGAGCAUGUGGUUUAAUUCGAUGAUACGCGAGGAACCUUACCUAGGCUAGAAUGCGCGUGACCGCCUCAGAGAUGAGGCUUCCCUUCGGGGCACAAAGCAAGGUGCUGCAUGGCUGUCGUCAGCUCGUGCCGUGAGGUGUUGGGUUAAGUCCCGCAACGAGCGCAACCCCUAUCUUUAGUUGCCAGCGGGUAAUGCCGGGGACUCUAGAGAGACUGCCUGCGCAAGCAGUGAGGAAGGUGGGGACGACGUCAAGUCAUCAUGGCCCUUACGCCUAGGGCUACACACGUGCUACAAUGGGCGGUACAGAGGGUCGCUACUUAGUAAUAAGAUGCCAAUCUCAAAAAACCGUUCUCAGUUCGGAUUGAGGUCUGCAACUCGACCUCAUGAAGCUGGAAUCGCUAGUAAUCGCGUAUCAGCAAUGACGCGGUGAAUACGUUCCCGGGCCUUGUACACACCGCCCGUCAAGCCAUGGAAGUCAGGGAGACCUGAAGAUCGUAACCGUCUAGGAGCGAUUUAGGGUAAAACUGGUAACUGGGGCUAAGUCGUAACAAGGUAGCCGUACCGGAAGGUGCGGCUGGAUCACCUCCUUUCU